rnacentral:rRNA from 1 species
CUACGGGUGGCUCCAGUGGGGAAUAUUGGACAAUGGGGGAAACCCUGAUCCAGCAAUGCCGCGUGUGUGAAGAAGGCCUGCGGGUUGUAAAGCACUUUCGGUUGGGAGGACUGCUUCUAGCACUAAUAUUGUUGGAAGUUGACGUUACCUUCAGAAGAAGCACCGGCUAACUCCGUGCCAGCGGCCGCGGUAAUACGGGGGGUGCAAGCGUUAAUCGGAAUUACUGGGCGUAAAGCGCGCGUAGGCGGCUAGAUCAGUCGGGUGUGAAAGCCCCGGGCUUAACCUGGGAACUGCAUCCGAUACUGUCUAGCUUGAGUACAGGAGAGGAGAGUGGAAUUCCACAUGUAGCGGUGAAAUGCGUAGAUAUGUGGAGGAACACCAAUGGCGAAGGCAGCUCUCUGGCCUGAUACUGACGCUGAGGUGCGAAAGCGUGGGGAGCAAACAGGUUUAGAUACCCCCGUAGUC